CCACAUCCCGAACUGUAGUAUGACGGCCUAGGACCUUGCCGGACCAGGACUGCCUGAAAUGUAGUAUGAAUGUCCAAUUAGCGAUAACUUUUACCAAUGUUAGAGAAAGACAACCAAUAAUAUUAUUCUAACUAAUUGCUAAGCCAUAAUAAUACUUAGAUCUUUCAUUUUUCAGUAUUCAGCGUAUUACAUAUAUACUACAUUCCAUUAUCCCUUUGAGGUUACUAGUGUCAAAAAAUAUAUAAAUGAAGAGUGGUUGCAGUGUAUCGGUUAGGCUAAGCUUUGUUUGCUAACUGCUAAGUCAAUAGCUCCAUUAUUGAGAUUUUCAUAGACAAGAAGCUUCAAUUUUAGAUCUCACUUCAGCCAAACAUAGUUCAAAAUGUAUGUUCUGAUUUUUGACUAAGUGAAUGAAUCUUUUGAAGUAAUGAUUUUUUUUCAGCUGGUUCAUCAAUACAUAGAAACUUUGUUCACUUAUCACAUAUAUGAAUAAAAGAAACAAAGGCAAGUCUAGUUUAUUACUCUUCUUGAAGCCACAGAACGGUUUUAAUUUAAACAUGAUUGUCGUGUUCCUGUCCACACACAAUAUUUAAAUAGAUGGCAUACCGAAAGAUGUUCAUACCAUUAGACACAAGAAAAGCAACUGCAGUAAACCGAUUAUGCCAAAUAAAACCAGUUUGUAUUUCAGUUUUCUAUUACUUUAUACAACAACUUAUAUAUAGGGAGACAAGCUAGAGUAACAGAAAAAAUUGAGAUCAGGCUAAUGACCACAAAAUCGUAUCAUCAUUUAGCACAUCUGGUCUGUCAGUGCGUGUGCGCCUUGACAAAAAACAAUUUUCAAAGGAAGUAUGUAGAAAUGUUGAAUGCAAACAUACUGGUUACCUAUAAACAAUAUUCUACAACUGAAUCAUGGGAAACACCGGGGAUAAUACUAUAUGGCAAGUUUAAAUGUAAACACACACACAUCUAUAUACACUAUAUGGCAAGCAUUUAGGGUCUGUUUGGUUCCCAUUGCUAAAUUUUAGCUAGCUAAAAUUAUUUUAGCUACUCUUGGGUGACUAAUGAAACUAAACUAUUUUAGCUCCUUUUAGUCAAUGUGUUUAGAACUUUAGCUACUAAUGAAGUGACUAAAGUUUAGCUAGCUAAAAUUUAGUUGGGGGAACCAAACAAGGCCUUAAUGUAACAGUAGGAACAGACAUAAGUUUCUAAAUUCUAUGGGAAAUUGCAGCUGAUAGGGAGCAAUGAUAAAGAGGUAUCUACAGAACCUAUUGAUUCAUAUUGGAUUAGAUGAUCCCCUAUCUAAUCUGCAGAACAUCGAAUGGAUUCUAGCUAUUUUUGCAAUAUGCUGCAGGAAUCCAGCUAUAUACACACUAUCACUGCUUCUUGAUUAAUAUAAAAAGAACAAAAAAUGCAGACUUAUGGAGAAGAGUAGCAGACAUACACGAGAGUAGCAACCUUACAAAAAUGCAGACAUCUUCUAGGGAGGUGACGAAGAAGAGUAGUCCACACCACACGCCUAUUAAUUGUCUCUUCUAGAACUAGUCACUCCUAAAUAGAAUAGUGUAAACCAGGUGCAGAUUUGGCAAACUAGCGUAGAGCAACACGGGGAUUUUGGUGGCUGUAUAUGUGGGCAUUUUGGAGGAAGGGAAGGCAGGAUUUGGUUGCAUAUCGCACGGGCACAGAUCUGGGCGUCCGUGCAGGGUUGGCAGGCGACAUGAAUCACACAGCGGCGGCGGAGUUGGUCAGCGGCAGCGGAGUUGGGCAGUGACGGCGAAGUUGGGUGGCGGCAGCUGCAGAUUUGGGCCACAACCACGGAUAGGUUGACAGAGGAGAUAUUGAUUCAGCUUCUAGGAUGAACAGUGGCACAAUAUGGGAAGUUGCUGCUUCUGUCGGACGGGAGUCUUGCGAUGCA
rnacentral:lncRNA from 1 species